GAUGAACGCUAGCUACAGGCUUAACACAUGCAAGUCGAGGGGUAACGAGAGGAAAGCUUGCUUUCCUUGUCGACGACCGGCGCACGGGUGAGUAACGCGUAUCCAACCUGCCCCCAACUAGGGAAUAACCUUGCGAAAGUAAGACUAAUACCCUAUAAUUUCCUCAGAUGUCAUCUGACGAGGAAUAAAGAUUUAUCGGUUGUGGAUGGGGAUGCGUCUGAUUAGCUUGUUGGCGGGGUAACGGCCCACCAAGGCAACGAUCAGUAGGGGUUCUGAGAGGAAGGUCCCCCACAUUGGAACUGAGACACGGUCCAAACUCCUACGGGAGGCGGCAGUGAGGAAUAUUGGUCAAUGGGCGGAAGCCUGAACCAGCCAAGUAGCGUGCAGGAUGACAGCCCUAUGGGUUGUAAACUGCUUUUAUACAGGAAUAAAGUUAGCCACGUGUGGUUAUUUGUAGGUACUGUAUGAAUAAGGACCGGCUAAUUCCGUGCCAGCCGCCGCGGUAA
rnacentral:rRNA from 1 species